AUGGCUCAGAUUGAACGCUGGCGGCAGGCCUAACACAUGCAAGUCGAGCGGUAACAUUUCUAGCUUGCUAGAAGAUGACGAGCGGCGGACGGGUGAGUAAUGCUU
rnacentral:rRNA from 1 species